GUCCUAUCAUAGUCCAGCAUUAUUCAGGAAAAGGAAAAACCAACAAAAGAAUUAUGGAGACACCUACACGAGGACUAAUGUAGCUAAAGUUUUAUCAGACAUCACAGAUGGCUAUUUUCAAAGGAACUACAGUGUCCCAAAGAGCAAUGAGAACAGUGUCUGAAAAUGUGAUGAAAUCAAGUGUGUCCAUGAUGCUGUCU